CAAAAUAUUCUCAUAUUUUAAAAAAACAUUAUACAAAUAUAACACCAUCUAUAAUAAUACACAUAAUAUACAAUAUACUUACAUAUGUAUGUUCACUUUUUACAGGAAUAUUCAAAAUAUUAUAGUUUAUUGUUACGCCUAAUAAAUGGUAAACGACUAGCACCACACUGAUAUUAUCACUAGGAGUUCCGGAAGCCACUUAAAUUUUAUCACUAAUAACGGUUCAACACAAAAGUAUUUAACACACACCGACAAACUUUAUAUACAAAAAUAAAAUUCGAUUAAAUUUACUUUCGGUGAAUUUGGUUGACGGUAACUGUUGAACACUGUAGCAGCAAAAGGCCCUGAAAAACAAAACCAAACGCAAGAUCAUUCAUUUCGAGAAAUCAACUAAAAUAUAUGAAUAGGAAUUGAUAAAUUGACUGAAAUUAACUAAAUUAAUUAUUGAUAAAUCAACUAAAAUAUAUGGAUAGGAAUUUAUAAAUAGUUUAGGAACGAUACAAAAGGUGGGAACUGAUAAAAAAUUGGAAAAAAAAGGUGUAUGUCCAGUUGCAGGUAGGCCUAUUGGAUUCAAGGCACAAUUCAUGUAUCUAUAAUUUAAUUAGGAUGAAAUCAAAAUGAAAUAAAUAUCAAGAAUUUCAAUGCUGAAUAUCAAACAUUCUGAAAACCUCAAAGAAACGAGUAUCUAGUUGAGCUUCAUCAAGGGGGAUUGAUUUAUGAAAAUUCCAUUAGAAAUGCAUUGUGUCAUAGGGUGAUGAGU